UUAGCCCUUAAAACGGAACCCAAAUGCUAAACUUAGAGAGCGUGAAACGAAUCACACACACAUAUAUAUAUAUAUAUGAUGGAAUACAUUAAUCCAGUGAUUACAUUCAUUUUCAAUGGCAGGUUUGUUUCACACCUACGGACACAAUUGUCUAUUGUCUUAUUUUCACCUUUAUGAAAACAAUGUUUAAACACAAUGGGCGUAAACCUGACCAUAUACUGUACAUUCAAAGAAUUACUGGAACUACAAAUACGGGAGGCAUGAGAGGGCAAAUAGCAAUUCUCUGAUUCAAUCUCCUGUUUCCAUGGCAACUGCAGGAUCCGCUUUGUUUGUGAGGUUCAUAUUAUCCCCGUUGGAGACGGUGGCCGCCUGCUGCUAAGGACACCGAUGCAGCUACGACGAAAUCCGCUACUCACUGAUUUCAGACUGUGCCAAACCUUCAGCAGCAUUAUUCACUCCAACAAUUCUAUUGCUGCAGUAGCACUUGGCUGUAAAGCAACUACAGACUGUCAGCACCAUCACGGCUUCUCAGGAGAUGAGGUCAACAGAAGCAUAAAUAUCUGCCUAUGAAAACUCAACAUAAGAGGUAGUGUUAUAAAGAAUCUAUUUAUCACCAGACUCCCAAAGAGCAUAAAUAGGAUGUUAUUUCAAUGGAACGACUUAUUAAACUGAUAUAUUGCCUUGAUUGUUACAAAAUGAGAAAUUAAAAAAACAAAACACCUAUUAAAUGUGUAAUUCAAGUGUUUCCUAGAGAAAAAAACACCUCCAUGUGGUGCCUUUGGUCUGCGGUGACUGAAAGAGGCAAAACCAUUGCCCGAACAUGUCUAACACAUUUGGUCUGUGUAUUUUGUCCAUACUCAGAUGAUGUAAUCUAACAGAAGAACAUCUGACAUUGACAAGAAUAGAUGUUCACAUGUCAGUUUGAUGACAUUGUUGCAAUUUCACAUUCAUUUAUUAGCUGUUAGCAAGUAACCUAUCUUCCUAAACAAAUGUGUUCAUUUACCUUCAUGCAGAAUGUUUAGGAUGUUUUACACAUGAGGUAAAGGUACAGCAGCCAUUUUAGUUGUGUAGAAUGUACAGGAAGAGGACAAUGUAUGAUGACAAUGACAAUGUUCGGACAGCGUCACAGAGCUAAUAUCUUAAUAAACUGGUUGUUGUCAGGCAAUUAUUCCCUUGAACACAAGACAAAAAAAACAUCUCUGAUCAAUAAUAUCUGUGUUACCUACAUAACUUCUUCAACGGCUGAAUCACGAUGUAAUCUGUUUCACACAAUCUUCAGUCUAUUGUGUAAAAAUAUAAAGAUUUUAAUUUUUCAGUUACUUAUUUACUCGGUGAUCUUAGAUCAUCAGACACCGUCCUUGGAUAUAUUCCCAAUCUCACAAGGGUCAGUGCUAAAAGUACAACGCUAACAGUUUUUACUAACAUUUCUACUCAUUUGGGAUGUGCCUAGUUUCUGUUCUCUAAAGCGUAGCCACUACCAGGACGGGAGCAGUGAGCAUCACAUUCUGUGAUCCUGGGUAUUUGGUUCUGUUGGCACGGUUACCAUGCCUGCAGUGGCAAGGGAUUCCCCUCAAAUGAUGGGCGAGGCAGCAGACACACCCGCUGCCUAGUGCUGCAGAGAGACAAGGCCGGGGCAGUUCUCCUUCCUCUGACUAGGCACAAAUUGAAGGGGUGGAGCCCUGAACCCUUUGGUAUUACUGCUACACCAUGAUGCUGAAGAAGAGAUGCUUACAGUGUACUCUUUGAAAAAAGAAAAGAAUAAAACAAAACCAAAGGCUAACUUGUUGACUUUGGGUCAACAGGCUGAUGUUGGAAAAAUACAUGUCUCUUGUUUGUCUUUGCUGUGUCAUUGCGGAAAACGCAAAAUGUAUUUAAAUCCAUUGAAAUUUACACUCAUAUCAUCACACUUAACUCACUGGACUUUGAAAUAAUAAGAAAAAGGAUCAAUUAUUUCAUAUAAACUCUUCUAAAUCCAAAUCCAUAAUAAUAUUAGGUCUAAUGUUGUACAUAAAGGUAACAAUGGGGGACGCUGCCCUCAUCCUAACUUUCCUACAUUUCCCCCUGUGCGAUGGUUUUGUCCAAAUACUGAGAAUGCAUAGGCCGCCUAUGAAAUGGUGCACUACGGGUGGGCCCUGCACUGCAUCUUGGCAGAUGCUGCGGCACGCCUCUGUGUGUGUGUGGGAAACCUGAUGGAAGAGGUCGAGGACGCAGGGAUGCGGUUGCUGCACAGCAUCGAUUGACACAGGCAGUCUGUCAUGCCUCAGAUCUCGGGCCAGGGAAAAUAAAAAAGCAUUUGCUGCAGUAAAACAUCCACUGAGCUCUCUGAAGAGCAAAUGCUAUGCAGCCACCAUUAAAACCCACCUUUGAGAGGAAAAUUCUUCCUAGUUUGCGAGCUGCCUCUGUGCUAAUCUAUUGUGAUCAACGGCACUACUCAUUGUAAUGCGCCAGCAACGUAGCAAUGAGACGGACAGUGUCUCCAACAGCAGCUAAGGGGAGGGAGGAGAGGAGAGGUAGAGAAACACCCUAAGGUCUUCACAGAUAUCUAGAUGGGAUCAUUUAGUGAGUCUACGCAAAACCUAAUCGUUAACUUUAACCAGCACCAGUAAACGCCUCAUCCAAAGUUUAAUCGAGGCAUGAUUUACAUUCUGUCUGACUAACCAGACAUAAGUUUCUGACCAUUGUGAAAGAUCUACUGAUUUUAAAAUAGUAGCUGUCUAAACCAGAAAAUGUCCCUGAAAGACUAGAAAAUCAAGUGUGUGUGUGUGUGAAGGAGAGAAAGACAGAGAGAGAGGGAGAGAGAGAGUGAGCACUGAGUAGCUAUUCUUUUUGGGACUACCAUUCAUUUCUAUAUACAAACCCAUGUCUUACCCUGGGCCUUAAAAUACCAUGUGUUACUGUUUGGUCCUCAAUUUUAGAAAACUGUAAUUCAAAUAUUGCAUUUAUGCUCAUCACCACCUUGAAAUUGUAUUAAAUCUUAUUAGGGUAAUGUAAUAGUCCUCGAGUACUUAAUACUCAUUUAAAACAGUUAAGGUCACUUAACUAACAGUAACCAACACACAUGGUAUGGGGGAGGAGAGGGGGUCAUUGUUAAAGCUCAGCAUCCUGUAAACCGGAACACGACCAUCACCAUCAUCAUCACCCUGCGAUGUCACUCUCAUCAUCAUGGUCCCACCUAUCGUUCGUCCUCUGCGCAUUUUUCGACGCGACGCCUUUAUCGUCCCUCCAAAACCACACUGGCCCCUAGGUCCAUUCCAACAAUCGUCCUAACGCUGAUUUUGUUGCGUUAUUUCCACCGUGUGUCUCCGCAGCCUGCUCGUUUGUGAAGGAGCCGGGCCAAAGGCACCGCCCCAACAUCUCUGCCCAGCAUAAUCCGCCGCAGCACGGCGACAGUGAAAAGAUCUGAUUUAUCGUGAAGACAUCACGUCGGAUGAACCUUGGUGAAUCCGAGAAAAUGACACUGUGGUGUCGGAAACGCCUGAACACAGGCUUCACACAGGCCUCUUCAUAGAUGAUGCUGACUGAAACCUACAACAGCACUGCUUUCUCACACCCACUGCUGUCUUUAUCACGCGUGUCGUCCAUAAUAACCACUACUUCCAUAUCAUAAAGGGUGGCUUCAUGAUAAAUGUCUUAACGUCAAGACUAGGUUCCUUUUAUAACAUUGGAGUUAUAUCAUUGCCUUAAUUGGGGGUUUACACCUUUUUUUUUUUUUUACAUGAAUAGGUAAUUACAUGUAUUCGAAAUGACAGAAGGCUGAUGAC